rnacentral:rRNA from 1 species
UCCUGCCAGUAGUCAUAUGCUUGUCUCAAAGAUUAAGCCAUGCAUGUCUCAGCUUAAGCUUUCUUACAACAGUGCUGUGCAUGGCUCAUUAUAACAGCUACAAUUAAGUGGAUGGUUGCUAUACAUGGACAUCUGUGGCAAUUCUGUGGCUAAUACAUGCUCAUUGGCUCAGUCAGCAUGGGUUGUGGUCAUUUUUCUCAGAAUCAAUGCAGGUGAUUCCUGCGUGCAACUCCAAGAAGAGUGACAGAAUGGAUUGCGAAGUUUUCACUGGUGCUGUGCCUUGAAAGUUUCUGACCUAUCAGCUGUCGACGGCAGGGUAGUGGCCUGCUGUGGCUGUGACAGGUGACGGAGGAUGAGGGUUUGACUCCGGAGAGGGAGCCUGAGAGAUGGCUACCACAUCUAAGGAAGGCAGCAGGCGCGCAAAUUGCCCAAUCCCAACAGAGGGAGGUAGUGACAAGAAAUAGCAAUGCAAGGCAUCCAUGUUUUGUACUUGGAAUGAAUGGCUGGCAAACUUUGUCUUUAGGAUCAAUUGGAGGGCAUGUCUGGUGCCAGCAGCCGCGGUAAUUCCAGCUCCAAUGGUAUAUAUUAGAGUUGUUGCGGUUAAAAGGCUCGUAGUUGGAUCUCUGCUGGGGAUGCCUGGUCCGCCCUUUGGGUGAGUAUCUGGCGCAAUCCAAGCAUUUUGUCCCAGGGGGGUGACUGCACUUGACUGUGUGGUGCACUCCUUGGGAGCAUUUACUUUGAGGAAAGAAGGGUGUUCAAAGCAGGUGUUUGCCUUGGAUGCAGAAGCAUGGAAUGAUGUUUUGAGUUUUGGCCUCAUUUUGUUGGUUUCUGAAGUGAAGACAGUGUCCAAAGGGGAUGGUUGGGGGCAUUCAUAUUUGACUGUCAGAGGUGAAAUUCUUGAAUUUGUCAAGGAUGAACUAGGGCGAAGGCAUUUGCCAAGGAUGUCUUCAUUGAUCAAGAACGAAAGUUAGGGGAUCGAAGACGAUUAGAUACCGUCAUAGUCUUAACCAUAAACAAUGCCAACUAGAGAUUGGGGGUCGUUACCUGUAGGAUUCUGUCAGCACCUUUGCAAGAAAUUGAAGUCUUUGGGUUCCGGGGGGAGUAUGGUCGCAAGGCUGAAAUUUAAAGGAAUUGACGGAAGGGCACCACCAGGAGUGGAGCCUGCGGCUUAAUUUGACUCAACACGGGGAAACUUACCAGGUCCUGGCACAAGUGGGAUUGACAGAUUGACAGCUUUUUCUUGAUUCUGUGGGUGGUGGUGCAUGGCCGUUCUUAGUUGGUGGAGUGAUUUGUCUGGUUAAUUCCGUUAACGAACGAGACCUUGACCUGCUAAAUAGUAACAUGUAAUUGCGAGUAUGUGGACAACUUCUUAGAGGGACUUUGUGUGUCUAGCACAAGGAAGUGUGAGGCAAUAACAGGUCUGUGAUGCCCUUUGAUGUUCUGGGCUGCACGCGUGCUACACUGAUGCACUGACUGAGCACCUAAUCUUGCCUGAAGUGGCUGGGCAAUCUUUGAAAUCUGCACCGUGAUGGGGAUGGAUCAUUGCAAUUAUUGCUUCUCAACGAGGAAUUCCUAGUAACUGCGAGUCAUCAACUUGCACUGAUUAUGUCCCUGCCCUUUGUACACACCGCCCGUCGCUCCUACCGAUUGAGUGGUCCGGUGAACAGUUUGGCCCCGUUGUAGCAUUCAGUUCCUGAGACGAUCUUCAAGAAAUUCAGUGAACCUUAUCACUUAGAGGAAGGAGAAGUCGUAACAAGGUUUCUGUAGGUGAACCUGCGGAAGGAUCAA